UGAAUACGAGACGCUAAGGCGUCGAAGUAGUGUAUGUCAUACUUCCAAGAAAAGCUUGCACUGUCAUAGAUAAAAAACGCCUGUACCAUAACCGACACAGGUGGGUAGGUAGAGUAUACUAAGGGGCGCGAGAUAACUCUCUCUAAGGAACUCGGCAAAAUAACUCCGUAACUUCGGGAGAAGGAGUGCCUUAUUCUUAAGGUUGCAAUAACAAGAUCCAAGCAACUGUUUAUCAAAAACACAGGUCUCCGCUAAGUCGCAAGACGAUGUAUGGGGGCUGACGCCUGCCCAGUGCCAGAAGGUUAAAGAAGUUGGUUAGCAUUAGCGAAGCUGAUAACUGAAGCCCUGGUGAACGGCGGCCGUAACUAUAACGGUCCUAAGGUAGCGAAAUUCCUUGUCGGGUAAGUUCCGACCCGCACGAAAGGCGUAAUGAUUUGGAUACUGUCUCGGAGAGGGGCUCGGUGAAAUAGACUUGUCUGUGAAGAUGCGGACUACCUGCACCAGGACAGAAAGACCCUAUGAAGCUUUACUGUAACUUGAAAUUGAAAUUGGACUUUAUUCGCGCAGUAUAGGUGGGAGGCGUUGAUUAUAAUCUUGUGGGAUUAUUGGAGCCAUCAGUGAGAUACCACUCUUGUAAUGUUAGAUUUCUAACUUUGAAUCAUUAUCUGGUCAAAGAACAGUUUCAGGCGGGCAGUUUGACUGGGGCGGUCGCCUCCCAAACGGUAACGGAGGCGUACAAAGGUUUCCUCUGAACGGUUAGAAAUCGUAUCUAGAGUGUAAAGGCAUAAGGAAGCUUGACUGUGAGACCUACAAGUCGAGCAGGGACGAAAGUCGGUCUUAGUGAUCUGACGGUACUGAGUGGAAAGGCCGUCACUCAACGGAUAAAAGUUACUCUAGGAUAACAGGCUGAUCUCCCCCAAGAGUUCACAUCGACGGGGAGGUUUGGCACCUCGAUGUCGGCUCAUCGCAUCCUGGGGCGGUAGUACGUCCCAAGGGUUGGGCUGUUCGCCCAUGAAAGCGGUACGCGAGCUGGGUUCAGAACGUCGUGAGACAGUUCGGUCCAUAUCCGGUGUAGGCGUUAGAAUAUUGAGAGGAGCCUUCUUUAGUACGAGAGGACCGAGAAGGACAUACCUCUGGUGUACCAGUUAUCGUGCCAACGGUAAACGCUGGGUAGCUAUGUAUGGAGUGGAUAACCGCUGAAAGCAUCUAAGUGGGAAGCCCACCUCAAGAUAAGUAUUCUCAUG
rnacentral:rRNA from 1 species